GGGCGCUUGGUCUAGGGGUAUGAUUUUCGCUUCGCAUAUUCCUUGAAUAUCACAUGUGAAAGGUCGUGGGUUCAAUUCCCACAGCGUCCA
rnacentral:tRNA from 1 species